rnacentral:rRNA from 1 species
CUACGGGGGGCAGCAGUGGGGAAUAUUGCACAAUGGGCGCAAGCCUGAUGCAGCCAUGCCGCGUGUAUGAAGAAGGCCUUCGGGUUGUAAAGUACUUUCAGCAGUGAGGAAGGUGGGUAUGUUAAUAGCAUACUCAUUUGACGUUAGCUGCAGAAGAAGCACCGGCUAACUCCGUGCCAGCAGCCGCGGUAAUACGGAGGGUGCGAGCGUUAAUCGGAAUUACUGGGCGUAAAGCGCAUGCAGGUGGUUUGUUAAGUCAGAUGUGAAAGCCCGGGGCUCAACCUCGGAAUUGCAUUUGAAACUGGCAAACUAGAGUACUGUAGAGGGGGGUAGAAUUUCAGGUGUAGCGGUGAAAUGCGUAGAGAUCUGAAGGAAUACCGGUGGCGAAGGCGGCCCCCUGGACAGAUACUGACACUCAGAUGCGAAAGCGUGGGGAGCAAACAGGAUUAGAUACCCUGGUAGUC